UGUGCUGUUAUGAAAUCUAAUAGGCUCGUUAGGACUUAAAUAUUUGUUACUGCCAGAUAACUGAAUUUAUACUAGUCACUUUCUUUUCUCUCAGUGAACCAAUUCCUUUGUAAUAACACUUGGCAAAAGCACACACUAUUACAAAUUCAUUACCAAAAGAAUUCAGCAAAUAAUAUCACAUCAAUCAACUUUCGAGAAAAUAAUCAUCCACUGCUUUUUCAUUUUAUACGCUGGUGUGUGGCAGUAUAUACAAAUUUUCAGCAUUUCUCUAAGCAUCUGAGUGUGUGGAAGGCAGCCUGGGCAGUGAGCAUAACACUAAGUACAACAGCAUCGUAUGUAUAGUCGUUACCAGAAGUCUAGUAAGCUGCAUUUACUUCCACUCUGUGUUACGUCUUCCAUCGCUCUUAAGUCCUCUGAUCUUCUGACAGUCUCCUUAGCAAACCUGACUUGAUAAAUUCGUAGCUGAUCAGAGAACUUCAGAUUGAGGACAGUAUUCUUAAACACUUCAACACCUUACCAGAUUGUGGUGGAAGUUAUAGGAGUUUUAAUGGGUGCUUUCAUGUUUUUAGGGAUAGAUUUACAGAGACACUGCCUGAUCAGUAGGACAAACAUCCAUUAGAACACGACUAACCAUCUCUUUGGUCUUUGAAAAUAGUUAGAUUUGGAGAGCAAGGAUUUCAAGAGCGUUUUCAUGAUUCUAGGGAGAGACUAACAGGAACAGUACUUUAUAACGAAGGAAAAACACCCAUGAGAACCCGUCUGACCAUCUCUUUAGCCUUUAAAAACUGUCUUCAUGAAAGAACAAAGCCUGAAAACAAACACUAAGAGCAGAGGAAAGUAGAGCAGUGUGUUACAAGACUAAUGACCUUGACUAGUACACGGCGAGCAUCAAAUUGAAAUCUCGCGGUUACUUCACAGAGCGACCCGCGUGCCCUCUGUCAUGUGGGGCUCGGUUGAGUAAGUGUUGACAGACCUAGUGUACUGUGAAGGCGUGCAAGACAUGUGCGGUCAUAAAUCUUUCGUUUUACCGCGCCUCCCGGAGUCAGCAGGUGCGGGGGUGUGCCGGGCCAUGCUACCAAGUGAGGGAGACUCCUGACUAGAGACGAGAAUCACGACUACAGUGGCAAUCGGUGCCUGGACAGUUUUUCUGAAGGAGGGCUGACGGAGAGGGAGGUCCAGACGGCUGAGGAAGAGGAGGCCCACUGGAUGGAUGCGGGACUCGCCACAGAGCAGCGGAGAACAGUGAAUGUGUUUGAUUCUUCUGGCCAAAGACUGUAUUCUUAAACGCUUUGGCAUCUUACCUCCAUUCAUUUUAACAUGUUCUUGUGGAAGUUAUUAUGAAUUUCAAGUGUUUCUAUCAUUUUAGUGGCACUUUAACAAUGAUUCUGCAUUAACAACGAGGAAAAGUUAAAAAAAAAAAAUCACUAGAACCUGAAAAAUUAUCUUUGUGGCCUUUGAACAUAAUCUUUAUGAAAGUUCAAACAGUUUCAGAAUAUUUUUUAGUUGUUUUAUUGAUAGAAAAAAAAGGAAUUGGGACGAGCUAGCGUGUUAAACGUAGCAGGAAGAAAUUUAUACAUGAAAAUUCUCUCUCUCUCUCUCUCUCUCUCUCUCUCUCUCUCUCUCUCUCUCUCUCUCUCUCUCUCUCUCUCUCUCUCUCUCUCUCUCUCUUAUACUGCAAAUUUCCAUUAAUUUUUCAUGGCAUAAGGAAUUCUAAUGAACCGUAAUGUGAAGCUGAAGUGCCAAAGUAAAAUUGUCUCUGAAUAAAUCAGUCACACCUGCCUCUUUACAUUUUCUGUCGUGUCGUCGCUGAAUUAUCAUUAGCGAGGUGAAGAAAACGAUCCUCAGAGAAAAUUCCUCACGCAAGCAGAUUACAACCUAACAGAGAUACCCGUCUUAAAAAAAUUCACCGAAAAUAACUUAUACAUGAUUAAACCCUAUUUAUUUUCA